UACGUAGGUGGCAAGCGUUGUCCGGAUUUACUGGGCGUAAAGGGUGCGUAGGCGGGUUUUUAAGUCAGGGGUGAAAUCCUGGAGCUCAACUCCAGAACUGCCUUUGAUACUGAAGAUCUUGAGUUCGGGAGAGGUGAGUGGAACUGCGAGUGUAGAGGUGAAAUUCGUAGAUAUUCGCAAGAACCCCAGUGGCGAAGUCGGCUCACUGGCCCGAUACUGACGCUGAGGCACGAAAGCGUGGGGAGCAAUCAGG
rnacentral:rRNA from 1 species